rnacentral:rRNA from 1 species
GACCCGUCUUGAAACACGGACCAAGAAGUCUAUCUUGCGCGCAAGUCAAUGGGAGAUAUAACACCCAAAGGCGUAGAUAACACAACUGCAUUGUUGCGGGAUUACGGGUGCACCACGGUCCUCGUCGGACCGGUUAGCUGUGCGCCCCUCCAUCCCCGGGUGUUGCGAUACGGUCUUGCCCUCGUCGGGCUCGACCCAGCGACAUACCGCGAGCGCGCAGGAUGUGACCCGAAAGAUGGUGAACUAUGCCUGAUCAGGUUGAAGUCAGGGGAAACCCUGAUGGAGGACCGAAGCAAUUCUGACGUGCAAAUCGAUUAUCAGAGUUGGGCAUAGGGGCGAAAGACCAAUCGAACCAUCUAGUAGCUGGUUCCUUCCGA